rnacentral:rRNA from 1 species
UACGUAGGGACCGAGCGUUGUUCGGAAUUACUGGGCGUAAAGAGCGCGUAGGCGGCACGGUACGACCGGUGUGAAAGCCCCCGGCUCAACUGGGGAGGGUCACCGGUAACGGCCGAGCUAUGAGUGCAGGAGAGGGAAGUGGAACUCCGGGAGUAGCGGUGAAAUGCGUAGAGACCCGGAGGAACACCAGUGGCGAAGGCGGCUUCCUGGUCUGCAACUGACGCUGUGGCGCGAAAGCUAGGGGAGCAAACGGG